GGAAAGUCCUAUUGAAUGAGUCACUUUGGCCAGACUUGAAAACUUGCCAAUUAGAUUUAAGACUGUUUGGUUGUUAUUGUUUAUUAGUUUGUUUUGCUUUACCUAACUUUUUACUUUUUUUUUGAAAAUAGGUUGUUUAUAUUGAUUAGAAAAAUAGUUAGAUAAAAUAACUAUAAUUUUUUCUGAAAUGUAAAUUGCAUAUAGGUACAUACUGUAUACUACGUAUGUUACAAUAUAAGUAAAUUGUUGUUUUACUUAAUGAGAGCUUAAUCUUGUUCUAACAAAAAUACAUGAAUUUUUAGGUUUACAAUUAUAACUGAUCACGCAGUUUCGUAAUUGUACAUAAUUGUAUAUGUAUUGUCCAUUAUCAUACUGUCUUUUCAAUGUUAAGGUAGUAUUACCUUGAAAUACUUCACCUACCAUGAAAUGGGAGAACAACUAAUGUAAAUCUAGGUUUAAUAUUUGGACAGCCUAUUCAAACACUUUGAUUUUCCCCAAACCUUUGUUAAAAUCCAAGUUUGUUGUGGUGAAUGUUUUGUUACAUCAAACUUUUUUUUUUCUUUUCAUGGAUUUUUCUUUUGUGCAGACAGUUAUACAUGCAUAAAAAUAAUGAAAACCUUCAUAUUGAUAAAGAUAUAUGUGUAGUAGAAUUUGGAACGUGGAUAUUUUUGAUAUUCAGCUUUUUAAUUGUUGACAUUUGAGAAUUAUUGUUAUGAGGUGACUGUGAAGACCACUGAGAGAGGAUUAUCUACUGCGCAUUCAGUGCAUUUGGCUUCAACCCAACAUGACCGUCAAGGCAUUGUAGUAUUUUACAUAGAUUUCAAUUUAAUAAUGUGAAUGUUUUGUAAGAACUUAAUGAUAUUUAUAAGUGUUAUAAUAGAGAGCGUACAUGUGGAGAAGGGGUGUGGAAGUUUGGUUGAAAGUGAAAGUAAGAUUGUCAAUAAAUAAAUACCUAGUCAUGUCUUGUUCCUAUUAAUGGAGUUUGCAAUUAUAAUCUUUCAUGUUACAUUUUGUGUGUACAUGUAUAUUUGUGUGUUAAAUCGUUAUCAGCUAAUAUCAUUGGAAAUAUGUUUUAGGUUUUUAGGAAGUAUUUGACUUUGCAGCAACUUCAUUAAGAAGUGAUCUGCUUUAGUGCAUAUUUCAGACAUAGCUUGAAUUGUUUAGUCUCAGUGUUUCAAAGUUUUGUAUAUUUUUGUAUACUGUGAAGUGAAGUAAUUUUAAAGGAAAACUAAAUAUUUGCAUGUAUAAUUUUCAUACAUCAUAUGUCAAUUAUUAGGUCAUCUUUUUGGUAUACUGAGAGUUAAUUGAUUAUAAAGAAAAGCUAGAUAUAUGCAUGUAUAUAUUAAAUCAUUCAUACAUCAUGUGUCUCCAUUUGUAAAUGGUCUGGGUUAUAUGUGUCCAAUGGAAAUUGUAUUUCUAAAAGAAAACAUGGCAAUAUCAAUAAAAAAAAGAAUGAAAAUGUUC
rnacentral:misc_RNA from 1 species